UAAAUGUACAAGCAAUAGUCGAUCCAGACUUAAAAAUAUUAAAUAUUAAUGCACGUUAUCCGGGUGCACGACAUGAUGCAUUUAUAUGGAAUGCUUCUCCCGUUAGACGUAUAAUGGAACAUUUUUAUAACAAUGGUGAAAGAAGAACUUAUGUGAUUGGAGAUGAUGGAUAUCCUUUGGAACCCUGGUUGAUGACACCAUUACCUCACUAUCCUCCAUGGAGUC